rnacentral:snRNA from 1 species
GUGUUUGCUUUGGCAGCACAUACCUAAAAUUGGAACAAAAUAAAGAAGAUUUACAUGGCUGCUAUGUAAAAAUGACACACAGGUUCAAGAAGGUUUUUGUAUUAGA